GCGUGCGUAGGCGGUUAGAUAAGUCUUUGGUUAAAUCAUGGGGCUCAACUCCAUGACUGCCAAGGAUACUGUCUGACUUGAGACUGGAAGAGGUAAGCGGAAUUGCUGGUGGAGGGGUUAAAUCCGUUGAUAUCAGCAAGAACACCAAAGGCGAAGGCAGCUUACUGGGACAGUUCUGACGCUGUUGCACGAAAGCGUGGGUAGCGAAUAGGAUUAGAUACCCUAGUAGUCCACGCCGUAAACGAUGGAUACUAGGCAUUGGCAGUAUCGACCCUGUCAGUGCCGUUUACAUAAGCUAACGCGUUAAGUAUCCCGCCUGGGGAGCACGGCCGCAAGGCUAAAACUCAAAGGAAUUGACGGGGACCCGCACAAGCGGUGGAGCAUGUGGUUUAAUUCGACAAUAAGCGAGGAACCUCACCAAGGCUUGACAUCUAGCUGCAAACUCAGGGAAACUUGAGCUUCUUCGAGAGUGCUAGACAGGUGCUGCAUGGUUGUCGUCAGCUCGUGUCGUGAGAUGUACGGUUAAGUCCGGAAACGAGCGCAACCCCUAUCGUAUGUUACAUUUUCAUACGAGACUGCCCCGGUUAACGGGGAGGAAGGUGGGGAUGACGUCAAAUCAGCAUGGCCCUUACGCCUUGGGCUACACACGUGCUACAAUGGCCGGUACAAUGGGCCGCCAAAUCGAAAGAUGGAGCUAAUCCCACAAAACCGGUCUCAGUUCGGAUUGAGGGCUGCAACUCGCCCUCAUGAAGCUGGAAUCGCUAGUAAACGCAUAUCAGCCACGGUGCGUUGAAUACGUUCUCGGGUC
rnacentral:rRNA from 1 species